CAUUGCUAUCACGCAAAGUCAGAAAACACACCCUUUUUUGUUUUUGUUUUUAAAGAGUUGAAGUCUUGGCCAUAUGCAGUGGCAUAUACCUGUAAUCCCAGCACUUUGGGAGGCUGAGGCAGGAGGAUCGCUCCAGGAGUUCAUGAGCAGCUUGGGCAACAUAGCAGGACCCUGUUUCUACACACACACACACACACACACACACACACACUACACACACACACUUGGGCAACAUAGCAAGACCCUGUUUCUACACACACACACACACACACACACACUACACACACACACGGGCAACAUAGCAAGACCCUGUUUCUACACACACACACACACACACACCACGAAAAAAUACAGCUUUUAAUUUUUUGUAUGUGUGUGUUUUGUAGAGACAGGG
rnacentral:lncRNA from 1 species